AGGAAGCAGGAAGAAGUGGACUUUGAUUGCUCUGUGUGAGAAGCUUGUAAAAGACUCUAACGUACAAGCAUGUUUCAUACACUGUGUGUUAUGUAUGUGUGUGGUAUAAAUGCUACUGAUGGGUUGAAUCUUGUUGAAAGCUAGCAAAACAAGGGGUGGAAGUGUGUGUGUUUGUUAUGGAUCUUCUGUUUUCAGGGUUUGAGUUGGUCUUCAUCAUCAUUGCUUUUACUAUCAUGUGCUUAUUUGGCCUGACUGCAGUCUACACACAUAAUACAGAUCAUCAAGAUGACUACAUUCAGACAGAACAGAAGAUAACACAACAAAAGAACAACUCAAAGAAAAAAAGAGUUGUCACCAAAACCAAUCAAGACAUACCAUGAACACAAAAAGGAACACAUUUGAUAGAAAUACAGAAUCUCUCCAUUGGUGCUCAUUGGAUAAAAGGGCUAGUGCACCAAAUGCAGUUAACCAGCAGACAAACUGUGUCUGAAGAUCUCUGAGACUGAAAAUAGACUUGUUAUCAAACUCAUCUUUCAGUUCACCCUCAAGACACAUGUGUUUUCUCUCAGCUGUCUCUGAUUGGCUUGAAUGUAUGACACCAGUAAGUAAUUAACCAGUGAAGAAAGGCAAAGAGGAUUUAUUGAAAUUGAAGCCCCUCCCCUUUCCCCACCUAAAUCUGCUUAACAUUUGUAAUGUAAUGAUUUAAAACCUUUCUGGAGGAGCCUUAAUUUUUCACACAUAUUAUGCUUUUUGGGCAAACUGCAUCUAAAGUCUCUGGGUGGUGGUAGCCUAUAUGGCAGUAAAAGUAGGAAAAUAUAUUCCUGAAUGUAUGUUGUGAAAAAUAUAUAUAUUAUGUUAUAUAUAAUAUUUUAUGUAAUGCAUUUUUGGUUGUAAUUUAUUUAUUUAUUUUUCCACAGAAAUUUUAUAUAUUUCAAAAUAAAAAUGAGAAUAUUGCA